rnacentral:rRNA from 1 species
UACGAAGGGUGCAAGCGUUACUCGGAAUUACUGGGCGUAAAGCGUGCGUAGGUGGUUUGUUAAGUCUGUUGUGAAAGCCCCGGGCUCAACCUGGGAAUGGCAAUGGAUACUGGCAAGCUAGAGUGCGGUAGAGGGUAGUGGAAUUCCCGGUGUAGCGGUGAAAUGCGUAGCGAUCGGGAGGAACACCAGUGGCGAAGGCGGCUACCUGGACCAGCACUGACACUGAGGCACGAAAGCGUGGGGAGCAAACAGG